rnacentral:rRNA from 1 species
AGCGAACGCUGGCGGCAGGCCUAACACAUGCAAGUCGAGCGGGCGUAGCAAUACGUCAGCGGCAGACGGGAGAGUAACACGUGGGAACGUGCCCUUUGGUUCGGAAUAACUCAGGGAAACUUGAGCUAAUACCGGAUAAGCCCUUCGGGGGAAAGAUUUAUUGCCAUUGGAGCGGCCCGCGUCGGAUUAGCUAGUUGGUGAGGUAAUGGCUCACCAAGGCGACGAUCCGUAGCUGGUCUGUGAGGAUGACCAGCCUCACUGGGACUGAGACACGGCCCAGACUCCUACGGGAGGCAGCAGUGGGGAAUAUUGGACAAUGGGCGCAAGCCUGAUCCAGCCAUGCCGCGUGGAUGAUGAAGGCCCUAGGGUUGUAAAGUCCUUUUAACGGGGAAGAUAAUGACGGUACCCGUAGAAUAAGCCCCGGCUAACUUCGUGCCAGCCGCCGCCGUAACAC